GACAGAGGGUGCAACCGUUGUUCGGAAUUACUGGGCGUAAAGCGUGCGUAGGCGGUUCGUUAAGUCUGCUGUGAAAGCCCCGGGCUCAACCUGGGAAUGGCAGUGGAUACUGGCGAGCUAGAGUGUGAUAGAGGAUGGUGGAAUUCCCGGUGUAGCGGUGAAAUGCGUAGAGAUCGGGAGGAACAUCAGUGGCGAAGGCGGCCAUCUGGAUCAACACUGACGCUGAGGCACGAAAGCGUGGGGAGCAAACAGG
rnacentral:rRNA from 1 species